GAAUUUAAUAUAAUUAUUAAAGGAUAUUUAUUAAAAUUAGUAUAUAUAAUAAUUAAUAUUUAAUUGGGAGGAUUAUUAAAUUUAAGGAACUUUAAGAUUAUUUAGAUUAUAAAUUAAUAUAUAGAAUUUUUUUGAGUGGUUAUUAAAUUAAAGUAAAAUUAAUUACCUUAGGGAUAACAGCGUAAUAUUUUUAUGGAGAUCUUAUUGAUAAAAAUGAUUGC
rnacentral:rRNA from 1 species